rnacentral:lncRNA from 10 species
UGAAAUAAAACAGACUUAUUCCAACUUUUAGGCUCACAGUUAUCAUUUUAAAUCAUUACUGAAAAAUUUAUUGAACCCAAAACAUGUUUAGUGAAUUAUUAUUGUUAAUUCAUGUUGAACCACUUUGGAGAAAAUCCUCAGAAUGAUCUCCUUUCCUGCUUGCUCAGGAAAUACCUGAUCAUGUAGGGACUUGGUAGAAGCCUUCCAUUCCCUUCUUUCAUGCACGUCCGUGAGAUGAGACCACCAAACAGGCUUUGUGUGAGCAACAAGGCUGUUUAUUUCACCUGGGUGCAGGCGGGCUGAGUCCGAAAAGAGAGUCAGCGAAGGGAGAUAGGGGUAGGGAAGUUUUAUAGGAUUUGGAUAGGUAAAGGAAAAUUACAGUCAAAGGGGGGUUGUUCUCUGGCGGGCAGGUGUUGGGGUCACAAGGUGCUCAGUAGGGGAGCUUUUGAGCCAGGAUGAGCCAGGAGAAGGAAUUUCACAAGAUAAUGUCAUCGGUUAAGGCAGGAACAGGCCAUUUUCACUUCUUUUGUGGUGGAAUGUCAUCAGUUAAGGCAGGAACUGGCCAUCUGGAUGUGUACCUCAACUCCUUUAAUGUUCUCCUCCUUUACUUAAUACAACUCAAGAUUAAGAUUUCCUUCGGGGUAUUCCAGGGAUAGAAACCAAAUAAGCUUAUCAGAAUCUAAAGUAAAUAAACCCUAUUUGAGGGCUUAAAGGCAGCAAUUCUCAGUCUUGCCUGCCCAUUGGAAAUAUCUGGGGACCUUCUAAAAACCCCUAGUGUGCAGACAACAUCCCAGACCAAUUAAAUCAGAAUCUCUGAGGGUAUUAUUUUUCAGAUCCCAAGAUGAUGUUAUUAUGCACUCAAAAGACAAACACCACGAGAGAAUGGCUAGCACUGUGCUCCCCAAACUUUAAUAUAUAGACAAAUCAUCCGAGGAUCUUGUUAAAAACAUAUCCUGAUUCAGUAGGUCUGGGGUAGGCCCUAAGAAUCUGAAUUCUUAAAUAGCUUCCAGGUGAUACCUUUGCUACUCGUUUAAGAACUAAACUUUGAGUAG